rnacentral:tRNA from 1 species
CCUGGUGGCUCAGACGGUAAAGAAUCUGCCUGCGAUGCAGGAGACCCAGGUUCGAUCCCUGGGUCAGGA